AGCCUUAAGAUAAUAUUUUAGGUGAUGCCUGCCCAGUGCUAUAAAGUAAACGGCCGCAGUACCUUGACUGUGCUAAGGUAGCAUAAUCAGUUGGCUUUUAAAUGGAGUCGGGAAUGAAUGGACUUAUAGGGUAAAGCUGUCUCUUAUAUACUUUAUUGAAUUUGGUUAUUAGGUGAAAAUUCCUAAUUAGUAGAAAAAAGACGAGAAGACCCUAGGAGUUUUUACUAAAUGCUAAUUCUUUAGCUACUGUUUUUGUUGGGGCGACAUAGGAACAAUCAACUUCCUUUUAAUAAAUAUACCGACUGUGUAUAAAUAUUUAAACUACCCUAGGGAUAACAGCGUAAUUCUUUUUUGAGCUUGCGACCUCGAUGUUGGACUAGGAACUUAACUGGCUAGCCGCCAGUUAAUAAUGUUCUGUUCGAACUUAACUUCCUACAU
rnacentral:rRNA from 1 species